UUUUUUUUUUUUUUUCUUCAAUUACGGCAAAUCAGUUUGGCAUGGUGUUUGUUUCUCAUGUAAUCUUUUGAUGAUAAAAAGUAUCCAUGUGCUGUAUGGACGUUAUGCAUAUUACAUAGAGAUAAUUGAUAUCUAUGUAUAUGAAUAUGAUAUAAAAAAUUAAUCUAUCUCUGUUAAGCCUUUAUCUUUUCAUUGUAAAACUUUGUUGGCAUAUUGAUGCAAUUAAGGAGGGAGG
rnacentral:misc_RNA from 1 species